CAGCACCUCAAGUGGUCAGGAUGAUUAUUGGGCCUAAAGCAUCCGUAGCCUGCUUUGUUAGUUUUCGGUUAAAUCCAUACGCUCAACGUAUGGGCUGCCGGGAAUACUGCAAAGCUAGGGAGUGGGAGAGGUAGACGGUACUUGGUAGGAAGGGGUAAAAUCCUUUGAUCUAUUGAUGACCACCUGUGGCGAAGGCGGUCUACCAGAACACGUCCGACGGUGAGGGAUGAAAGCUGGGGGAGCAAACCGGAUUAGAUACCCGAGUAGUCC
rnacentral:rRNA from 1 species